rnacentral:lncRNA from 1 species
AACUGAAUGAGCUAACAAAGGUUUUGUGCGCUAUUUCAAAGAUUACAACUAUGAAUGGCUAACAGCUAGCACCAAGCACAAGAAGUUAUUUGGCCAUGUUUACUUUUUAAUACGAGUAAAGGGACAUGGAAUGACAGACGCAUGGACUUUCUUUACAAGUGACAGGUGGAUGACAGCAUGACGGUGAAAGUGAGCAUUGCUGCAAGAGUGUGGCAUGAAAUGAGAGCUGCUGGAUGCUGACCAUCUCCCUCAGCUGUGUCUUUAGGAAUUGAAAGCAACCAAAAGACGAGGAACCUUGGCAGCUGUUGCUGGAGAAGUCAAAGUUUCCGCUACUUCAUUAUCACUUAUUGCCAAAUUACCUCAGAAUGCGACCGUCGCAAUUCGCCCCCUAGUGGCAUUUUUAAUAAACGAUUAAUUUGUUUGUGAAGCUGACAAUUUAUCCAAACAGACCUGUGGUGUUUCGGUUUUCGUUUCCAAUACAGAAACAGGACUGAAAGGCAUUUUCCUCCUCUUAUUGACCAUGGUGGAAUGAAUGAAGAAUAAAUUAAUAGCUAUAAAUCAAAUGACCACCAAUACUUUUUGCCUAAAGCUGCAUUUUUAAGCAACUUAAAUAUUUAUAAUGUUAGACUCUACAGAAGAAACAAGUAGUGUGUUUUCAGUUUUUCAUUUUUUUUUGGAUAAUUUUCACCUUGCG